rnacentral:lncRNA from 1 species
ACAUCAGAGUUUCUGGUCUGGUGGGUGGAGCCAGAACCACUGAUUCUGGUCUGUCUGCCACCAACUAUGAUUCACUGAACCCCAGAGCUGGCAGGGCAAUAGAGGGCACCUAGCACACCACCCUACACCCACUCCAGGCCUCAGAAGAGCCCUUCUAAGGUCCCUGGGCUGGGCCAGGGUGGGGGUUGCCUGAUGGCAAGCUGUGGCUGUAGUUAGCAUGAGCUACUUGGCCCUAGGGAUCAAGUAUUACAGAAGGUAUUUGUAUUUGUUUGUAUUUGCUGAGGCGUGGCAGGGGGAGGGGAAGAGAGCUUGUGAGAGGCCCUGCAGUACUUCACACCCUCUUUGGAUAUCCUGAAGUUUGCCUCAUACCCAAGCAGAUGUAUUGAUUAGCAGGGCAAGGGGAUCUCUUCCUCCUUUCUGUCCGUGUCCCAUACUUGUGAAAAGGGAGAUGGCCAAGUUUUAUUAUACAAGUUGGAUCU